rnacentral:lncRNA from 1 species
GGGACAAUGAAUUUAUAGCGGCGUGCCAUCCUGCAAUGGCAAUUUCAACAAUUCGUCACUGCACGCUGCCUCUUAAAGGGAGAGCUUCCCCCACCACUCCCACCCUUCCCGGUCCGCGCCUAAUCUGAUGGGGGAGGGCGCCGGGAGAGGCGGAGGGUGAUCGAGGAAAGGGAGACCCGGAAAGAGGAAGGGACCAGAACCUAGCUAACAAGGUGGAAGGAGAGACAAAGGAGGGAGCAAGGGGGAGAGAGAGAUUGAGAGAGAGACAGCAUUUGGGCAGAAAACAAGAAAAUUCACUUGGCCUCAUUUAAAGCCACAGCAACUCAGGGUCUGUUGUGGUAUUUCACAACCAAACGGGGUUGGCUAACCUCGGCUUACCUCAUCUCCUUAAGGGGUGUUUUGGUGUGUUUUUAAAGUCUCUCCCUAGCUCCUUCCCCUUGCUGUUCUUGCACGGGAUAUGAAGUUCUUGCCUCAUUUUGUGGGCCGGUGCGCUCUGGCCUUGUUGACCUGGUAACUUCACUGGACAGGGCAGCUGCCCGUGCACUCCCAAGUCCAUCUUUCUUUUCCCUGGCUCCCUCCAGUCGUCUGGGUAGCUGAUCUCCAGACUUUUCAUCUUCUAGCUUGUUCAAGCUCCAACACUUGCUGACUUCGGGUUAGGGGUGACUAACUUCUCCCGGCCACCAGCUGAGCAGCCGGGCAGCCACGGGUGCUUCCUGGCGCGUCUCUGGGCAUGCAGCACUGCGGUGACCCCAACAGGGCCGGCUGCGGCCUGGGAAGUCCUUGGCUUUGUGUAUAAAUGGCGGUGCUCCCAGCUUUUUCCAGCGCAUAGUUGGUCAGUGCCCACAAUCUGUCACUUAUCCCAGCCACUGGAACUCUUUGAGCUGUAGGAUGUCAGGGUGGGAAAGAGUUAACUCUUGAAGGGAAUUCAGCACCCCCACCCCAAACUUUUAUAUUUGUGCUCACACUUUCUCUCUUUCCUUCUUAAAAGGUAAUUAAAUGGCAAGCACUCCUUUGUUUGUUUACUCACUACAUCUCUCCUAAGUCAUUCACUUACUACAUCUCUCCUAAGUCAUUCACUUACUACAUCUCUCCUAAGUCAUUCACUUACUGUCGGUCCCCUACUCUUGCUUCCAGGAUCAUUUCCAAAGCUCCUAUUCCAAUGGAAGAAUACUUUAGGGGAGGUGAUUGGUGGUUAUUAGUGGGCAGAUGGCAUGGCCCCUGCCACUUACUUCCUCCAUCCCUUUUCCCCUCUCAUUAUCAAUUCUAAGAAGGUGAACUGGAAAACCCACUGGCUUUCUCAGAGCAAGCUGAUGGGUGGCAGGCAGGUCCAAUACUGGAAUCCGCACACACCUCAUAUAAUUUACACAUUUCCAUCCUUUUCAGCUUCAUUGCUUCAGAGGAGAGCAGGUGCACUUGCAUAGCUCCCCCAAAUAGUACAUUCUCAGGUAAGGUACCAGGCAGUCCAAGAAACAACAGUUAAGGUAAAAGAGGGCAUGGGUUUCAGAGAGACAGAACAAGGUGUGUGUGGGGGGGGUGGACAUGGGAGAAGUUGAGAAAGACUGGCUGGAUCCUGAAACCAAUCAGGACCUAGAAGGAGGCUGCUGCUGAAACACUUGCUCCUCAAUCCUCAAGAUGAUCAAGUAGGUUUCCUGUAGUCAGCAUUCCAAGGCAGUGGGCAAGCAUCAAAGGCAGAGAAUGGAGGUACCGGCCAUCUUCUCCGUGGCCCAGUAGCCUUCAGGUUUACGACGACCAAAGUAACUCCAGGGAAGAUUACCUGGUACCUAUUCGUGUAGCAGAGGCCAGCAUGAGAACAGCCCCCAUAGGUGCAUACGUGCGGUCUCCAGUUGGUGGAGAGGUUCGGGAAGAGUUGGGAGGUGCGGCUUUAUUGGAGGAGGUACAUCACUCAGGAGAAACGCUCUCUGCUUCCAGCGUUGGAAUCAAGAUGUGAGCUCUCAGCUGACCCUGCCAUCAUGGACUCAAAUCCUCUGAAGCCGUAAGCCCAAUUAAACAUUUUCAACUUUUAUUAUUUUAUUCUGUCCUGAUUUUUUUUUUUUGUCACCACAAUUGGUAAGUAAUUAAGAUACAGACUUUAUUUCUUUUACGCCACUUUCCAAAAAAAAUAAUAAAGUACAAUAUUUGGUAUCAAACAAAGUUUCCAAAAACAAUUUUUAUUUGAAAGGUGCAACUUACUCAUCUGUGUCUCACAGAAUCAUUUAGAAAGCAGGUCUUUCAGGUGACCCUGGGGUAAGGCUGCUAACUGCAAUUGUUUUCAUUUGUGGACAGGUUCCUUAUGGAUUUCCCGAUGACUUUACCCUCACUGAAGCCUUUUGUCAUCUCUAAAACCUGUUGCUCUCUUAAAGGAACGCAAUCUGAAUUUCAUGCCUUCAUUUCUGAUAAAUGAAUGACAUUAGAAUUCAGACCAAUUAACCAAAUGUUUGGAAAUAUGUUAAGAGCAGAUUUGUUUCAAAGUGUGAGCAUGAAAUAGUAAGUGUUUGCUGGCAGUAUUUGUUACAGGGAUAGAGGCAGAUAGAGCUUGGGAUACAAUAAGUAAAUAUUAUUGAUGUUUAAUUACUUAUUUUUUUUUUGGUGUGUGUGCUGUUUGUUUUGUUUUGGUUUGGUUUGGGGAUUUUUUUCUCCAUGUAUUUAGUUUCUGUGGAAGGUAUUUGCAUUCUGUAGAAAGUUAGUUACUAUUUGAAACAGAGACUGCACCAGUGAACCUGUGCAACCAAGUUGUUCCAGAGCAGAAAUUAACCAGUAUUAAUUUAGAGUAGUAUUUCAGUAGGUCAAAACAGCAGUCUUUAGUUUUGCAAUAAGAAGAAAAAAAUAUAUUGUUCACCAUGUUAGAUGGAGCCAUUGAUUACAUUUUGCUCUAAUAGCUACUUUUUCUGCAUAGGUAAUAAGAAUUAUUUUUUAACACAUUUAUUGAAUACAUGAUCCAAAAUCACAGACGUAUAAACUUUACAUUUCCUCAAAGAAAUAUUUUCUACUAUAGAAUGCUGCGAGUUCAAAAUUGCUGUGGGGAUUUGUUGGGGGUUUGUUCUAAUGCUUUGUUUUAAUCGGGAAUCCAAACGCUGAAGUCAUUGUCCCCAGUUGGUUUUCGAUUGAUCAAUAUAGAUGCCAGUGAUCAAUGGCUGGACAAAGGGAGAAUGGGCAGGGCCCUUAGAUUUGCUCAGGCUAGGACUGGGGAGACAGAAAGGAAGAAUUUCCAUGACUCAGGGUAGAAAGAUGGGAUGCAGGAGCUGCAGGAGAGAAAGCCAACCAGCCAUGUGAGAAUUUGGGGUUGGGGGUGUGGUAGCCACUGGCCACUUCCUGGUUGGGCCUGGGUUAGCAAAAAAAUUUAGGAGUGCAGUGCCUUUAAGGUAGCCAAGGCAUUUUAAACAUAAUUGGUGUGUGUGUGUGUGUCUGUGUGUGUGUCUGUGUGUGUGUCUGUGUGUGUGUGUGUCUGUGUGUGUGUGUGUGUGUGUGUGUGUGUGUUUGUGUGUUCCAUUCUGGAACUGAGGUAGCUCCUGGGUGAGUGUGCAAGAGACUCACCAUAAGCCAAAGAUGUGGAGUUCAAACUUACUGACACAGGGAUUGCAUGAGGCAUCAACCAUCUACUGGUCAGUCACAAGCUGAUGCUUCCACGAAAAGGGACUACUAGUGACACACUCUGCCGAAACUGCAAUCUUCUACCUCUUAAUUAUAUCCACUCUGCAAACACCUCUUAAAACCUACGUAGCUUAUGAAAAUACAUGUCAAGGUGUGAAAGGUUCCGGGAGACUCUCUGGGGACUUGUGAAGGUGAGUAAGCCAUGACUGAUGUUUGCAAAGAAUUCACAGUUCAGAAAUGGCGCCAAGAAGAUCAAUAGGUACUUGGACUCCAACCUGGAAAAUACAAAUACGGAAGAGAAGAAAGGGAACAGCAUCUACAGGUGCUCUGCUCUCUGUUUCCAGCAUGGCUGCACUCCACAGCCUUUUGGCCCUGGUAUGUAGUAUUUUCUCAUAUUUCCAUUUGCUAAAGUGUCAAAUCCUCACUUCUACCCUAAACCGUGCUUUUAAUGGUAGGAGUGAGGAAAUACCUGACAGUAAAAUAUUCCCCUCCAGCCAAACACCUGCUUUUUACCUCCCACGUGGAAGAAUCACAGACUCUCAAUUUUGUUUUGCUUUCCCACAUCAAGAUUUCUACCCCAGGCCUUGCUGCCUGGGGAACCUGCUCCCUUGGUAAAAGGAACAUGGAUGCCAUCAACGGAAAUGUCUUGCUGCGUGGCACCAUUUUAUAUGAUGUGAAAGGAGCCUCUUCUUCCUGUGUCACUGUGACUUGCAACGUUCUGAAGAGUUCCAGUUAAAAAGCAAAGUUGGACUAUAGCGGUAAGGUAGAGGGCGUAUGUGCUGUUCUAGCUCAGACACACUCCCGGAGCCUGGAGAGGGUUUUCACAGAAUCUGCUGUUCAACAAUCUCCCUUUUCUCGUUUACCACUCUGGCCAACUCUUGCGUUCCCCAAUGCAGGCAAACAUCUGAUGACUAGGGACGUCCUGGAGCUUCGCACACAACAAGCAUACUUAAUGUACACAUGCAUGCAGAUGUGUUCAUCCCAACUCAUGCUCCCUCUACACUGCGCUGAUAGGUGACUGCUGGCUCAGAGCUCGGAUAAGUAGCAAAGUGGGGAUCAUUUGCUCUUUCCCCCUUGCAAAGACAAUAUUCUUGAGACUCGCUCGGUGGAGACAUUUUUCUUCUUAGCAAAGAAUUUGCUUCAUGCCUGGUAGAAGUCAAAAUCAUUUUCUCUGUUAUCUGAAUAGAAAAGGUGACAGAACAAUUUCUCUGUUGUUAUUGACCACAUGUGUUUCCAACUAAGCUUUACUUAAUCUCAUUAUGAAAAUACAUUUUUUUAAAGAAAAUCUAGAUUUUCAUUUCUUUAUUCACAGGAAUUUUAUACCCUGUAAAAAGGCUUCGAAUGAAAAAUACCCACAUGUAUUACUCAAGACAUGCAGGUGUUAUGGGUAAAGAAAACCGGAGAGUCAAUCUUUUAUGCUGACCAGCUGGAAAAUGUUGUUUUAGCUUUUGUCACACAACUAUGCACUUUUGCUUUUAUGAGUUACCCAAAUUCUUUUUUUUUUUCCUCUUUAUUUUCUAGAAAUUCUCUCAAACAUCAUGUCUUACGGGAAACACAUGGAAAACCAGGACUUUCCCACCCAGAGUAAUUUUAGACAUCUGAGCUUUGUUUCUCUCUUUUUCUUUUUCUUUCCCCUUCACAUGUCCAACUCCAGCUAGGUCCUCCCAAGCACCAAUGAAUAGUACUUGUAGAUUUCAGUGGACUUGUUGUUUUAAUAUCUUUUCCUACUGCAGAAGAAGCUGAAGACAGUCUAAACAAAGUUGAUCAUCAUCAACUGGUCAUUUACCAAGAAAUGAUAAAGAAUGCAAAACAGAGCUGCCUAGUCAGUGCAGUGGCCACAGGAAUUGCUUAGGUGGAUGAAUGAUCUGUACAACCUCUCUUACUUAAGAUGUGAGUGGAUGACCAGGUACCUCCCUAGUAUACACGUUUCCCAGAGGCACUAACAGGCUACACUGGUUCAUGUGGGCAUGCUACACUUUGCUUAAUGAAUCUCCUCCGACAUCUUGACCUUUUAACUUCCCAUCACAGUGAAAGGAAGAAGUGAUAACACACAUCUAUCCACCAAUAAAACUAUCAACUCUACCCCUCCUCCACUCCUAGCUGGCUAUACCUAACUCUGUUGGAAACUCCCUAAUUUUAUUACCAGCUACAACAUUGUAGGAUCUCAACAAGUCGGAUACCUCUGACCUUUCACGCUGUGGUCAACAGAUGUAGUCCCUGUCUGAGCUGCUGCUCAGGGACUGAACCGUAGCUUGUGCUUCCUCAUGUGGUUUUUCUACAAUGUCAACUUCUUGCUUUAGUUAUUGCCUUUUAAGAACCUUCUUUGAAUCUGUGUACACCCUUUCCAGCCUCCUUUAGGAAUGAAACUAGGCUCUUUAGCCCUUCAGGUGGAUUGGACAUCAAACUCUCAUAGGGAUAAAUAUGAAUCAUAAAAGAGAGUUUAGCUGUUCCUGCUGAGACAACUGAUCAAGAUCAAAAGCAUCCUCUAAGGUUACCUUUAGAAGGUACUAUGGUUAAAAAGAAUUGAUGCCGAGCAGAAGCAUUUUCAAAGGAUUUGAAGAAUGCACCUCCAAGGACCACUAUCUCUGAUCUGUAUGAGAAGUAUCAAGAAGAAAUUUAAAAUGUUGUAUUUUCCAUUCACAUUUUUUUUUAUGAUCAGAGUCCUCAAUGAUAUUAAAAUGAAAUUCCUGUCUAUGCAAGACCAACUUUUUGCAGCUCACCAGGGUGGUCAUUCACACCACUGAAGGCACAACCAAUCACACAGCAUUUCAAAAAGUGUUGGCUUAAUUAAUGUUUAAACCUCAUGAAUAUAAUAAUCUUUGCUAAGGAUUGAAUAACAGUUACUCACCAUUAUCAAUCUAAUUUUUCUUGUGUCUUCCUCAAAAUUGAAGAAAAGGAGCAAAACAUAUAGCUUAAGAGAAUGCUGAACUGAGAACUGGACCCCCUUUGGGGGAAUUAGAGGAAGGAUUGAAAGAGCUGAAGGGGUUUGCAACCCCAUAAGAACAGCAAUGCCAACCAACCAGAGCUUCCAGGGACUAAACCACUACCCAAAGUCUAUAGAUGAACUGACCCAGAGCUCGAACUGCAUAUGUAGCAGAGAAUAGCCUUGUUGGGGUACCAGUGGAAGGGGAAGCCCUUGGUCCUGCCAAGGUUGGACCCCCAGUGCAGGGGAAUGUCCCAAGGGG